rnacentral:rRNA from 1 species
CACAAGCGGUGGAUGAUGUGGUUUAAUUCGAUGCAACGACGAAAAACCUUACCUACCCUUGACAUGUCUGGAAUCCUGAAGAGAUUUGGGAGUGCUCGAAAGAGAACCAGAACACAGGUGCUGCAUGGCCGUCGUCAGCUCGUGUCGUGAGAUGUUGGGUUAAGUCCCGCAACGAGCGCAACCCUUGUCAUUAGUUGCUACGAAAGGGCACUCUAAUGAGACUGCCGGUGACAAACCGGAGGAAGGUGGGGAUGACGUCAGGUCCUCAUGGCCCUUAUGGGUAGGGCUACACACGUCAUACAAUGGCCGGUACAGAGGGCUGCCAACCCGCGAGGGGAGCCAAUCCCAGAAAACCGGUCGUAGUCCGGAUCGCAGUCUGCAACUCGACUGCGUGAAGUCGGAAUCGCUAGUAAUCGCGGAUCAGCUUGCCGCGGUGAAUACGUUCCCGGGGUCUUGUACACACC